UACAGAGGGGGGCAAGCGUUUAUUCGGAAUUAUUGGGCGUAAAGGGCGCGUAGGCGGCCAUUCAAGUGACGGGUGAAAGCCCUCGGCUUAACCGAGGAACUGCCUGUCAGACUGGAUGGCUUGAGACCGGGAGAGGUGAGUGGAAUUCCCAGUGUAGCGGUGAAAUGCGUAGAUAUUGGGGAGGAACACCAGUGGCGAAGGCGGCUCACUGGACCGGAACUGACGCUGAGGUGCGAAAGCGUGGGGAGCAAACAGG
rnacentral:rRNA from 1 species